rnacentral:rRNA from 1 species
AGUGAACGCUGGCGGCAGGCCUAAUACAUGCCAGUCGAACGGCAGCACAGCAGAGCUUGCUCUGUGGGUGGCGAGUGGCGGACGGGUGAGGAAUACAUGGGAAUCUGCCCAGUCGUGGGGGAUAACGUAUGGAAACGUACGCUAAUACCGCAUGCGCCCUUUGGGGGAAAGCCGGGGACCUUCGGGCCUGGCGCGAUUGGAUGAGCCCAUGUUCGAUUAGCUAGUUGGCGGGGUAAAGGCCCACCAAGGCGACGAUCGAUAGCUGGUCUGAGAGGAUGAUCAGCCACACUGGGACUGAGACACGGCCCAGACUCCUACGGGAGGCAGCAGUAGGGAAUAUUGGACAAUGGGCGCAAGCCUGAUCCAGCCAUGCCGCGUGAGUGAAGAAGGCCCUCGGGUUGUAAAGCUCUUUUGUCCGGAAAGAAAAGCAUUCGGUUAAUACCCGGGUGUUCUGACGGUACAGGAAGAAUAAGCACCGGCUAACUUCGUG